AGUACAUUUUGGACAUGUACUUCAACAGAACAGAAUUCAUUUGAGGCCUUGCUUUCUAGAUUAUAUAGUGGAUUCAUAGAUUGUCAUAUUGAUUUAUGUGCAUAAAAGGAGCAGUAGUCAAUGAAUAAUUUUGUGAUGAGAGCUUAUUACCAUGGUUACCAAAUGAAAGGAAAGUGCAGUAUUAGAAUCACUGGUGUACAUGUAGAUGCGGAUGUCCGGCAAAAAGAACUGGUAUCAAAAAACUGAAAAGUAAAGAAACAGAACCAAAGAACGUUAAUUUUAGAUUAAUACAAUAUUGAACUCAAA